GACGGGGGGGGGCAAGUGUUCUUCGGAAUGACUGGGCGUAAAGGGCACGUAGGCGGUGAAUCGGGUUGAAAGUGAAAGUCGCCAAAAAGUGGCGGAAUGCUCUCGAAACCAAAUUCACUUGAGUGAGACAGAGGAGAGUGGAAUUUCGUGUGUAGGGGUGAAAUCCGUAAAUAUACGAAGGAACGCCAAAAGCGAAGGCAGCUCUCUGGGUCCCUACCCGACGCUGGGGUGCGAAAGCAUGGGGAGCGAACAGG
rnacentral:rRNA from 1 species